GGCAAGAUGGCCGAGCGGUCCAAGGCGCCAGGUUCAGGAACACCUGAAUUGAAUCCCUCCUGGUCAGAGUAAUCUGGCGUGAGUUCGAAUCUCACUCUUGUCA